rnacentral:rRNA from 1 species
UACGUAGGUGGCAAGCGUUAUCCGGAUUUACUGGGUGUAAAGGGAGCGUAGACGGCACUGCAAGUCUGGAGUGAAAGCCCGUGGCCCAACCACGGGACUGCUCUGGAAACUGUGUUGCUGGAGUGCAGGAGGGGUAAGCGGAAUUCCUAGUGUAGCGGUGAAAUGCGUAGAUAUUAGGAGGAACACCGGUGGCGAAGGCGGCUUACUGGACUGUAACUGACGUUGAGGCUCGAAGGCGUGGGGAGCAAACAGG